CGAACUUCGGCCGACAGGCCUGGACCCCUGGCAGGCCGCAGUAACGGCCACGAUUCUGUCCACCUCCUGCGACGGAUUCUGCGUGGCUCCAUCACUCCCUGGCAGGCCGUAAUAACGGCCACUAUUCUGCUCCACCUCUUGCGACGAAUUCUGCGCGGCUCCAUCACUCCCUGACAGGCCGCAGUAAUGGCCACGAUUAUGCUCCACCUCC
rnacentral:lncRNA from 1 species